GGCUGGGUCAUGUGAGCGAGAAACAGCACCUUCAUUUUGUUCAAAUCCUGCAUCUCCCAUUCUUGGGCUGCCCCAGCUUAUGCCCUCUCUUGUAAUUGCCCCAGAGGCUAAUGCAGGACCACAGAAACAAAAAGGGGACCGGACUGCCUGAGCAAUCAAAAUCCUUUACAGUGAGAGCCGUAAGAAGCUCAAUCUAUUUAAUUUAUCCCAGAGAGGUUGAGGGGGUGACUUGGUCACACUCUGUAGCCGAAUGCUGUUUAAUUUAGCAAAGGUAGAACGGGAUCCAGUAGCUAGACAAAUUCAGACUGGAGGGAAAUUUUUAACAGUAAUUGUUAUUAACCAUUGGAACCACUUACCAAGGGAUAUGGUGGAUUCUACAUCUUAUAGAGUCUUUAAAUCAAGACUGGGCGGCUUUUUCUCAACCAGGAGUGAUGGAUUUGAUGGAUGAAAUUCUAUGGUCUGAGUUAUGCAGAAGGUUACUGCUGGACAAGGCAACUAUAGUUGUAACAUGCAAAUGGAUCAAAGGAACAGAGAAGGUCUCCCUGUAUUAUGAGAAACAUGUGUUUUGACAUGACACAGUUGCAGCUGAUGUACCACCUUUUGCUGUAUCACUGCCAGAGCUCAAAAACUAAGCAGUGACAGGCUGGGUCAGUAUUUGCAUAGGAAACCUCCAAGGAACACCUCAGUAAUGCAGGAAAUAGCGGUGGAAGCUAGUAGGUGGCGCCCUUCUCUGCAAAUCACUGCGGAACCAAUCCCAGCCUGACGUUAGAAGGUACUAUGCUGCUGGAGUGCUCCGUACCAGAUGAGAUG